rnacentral:rRNA from 1 species
CCUACGGGCGGCAGCAGUAGGGAAUAUUGCUCAAUGGGGGAAACCCUGAAGCAGCAACGCCGCGUGGAGGAUGAAGGUUUUCGGAUUGUAAACUCCUUUUGUUAGAGAAGAUAAUGACGGUAUCUAACGAAUAAGCACCGACUAACUACGGGCCAGCAGCCGCGGUAAUACGGAGGGUGCAAGCGUUACUCGGAAUCACUGGGCGUAAAGCGCGCGUAGGCGGGAUAGCAAGUCAGAUGUGAAAUCCUAUGGCUUAACCAUAGAACUGCAUUUGAAACUGUUAUUCUAGAGUAUGGGAGAGGUAGGUGGAAUUCUUGGUGUAGGGGUAAAAUCCGUAGAGAUCAAGAGGAAUACUCAUUGCGAAGGCGACCUGCUAGAACAUAACUGACGCUGAUGCGCGAAAGCGUGGGGAGCAAACAGGAUUAGAUACCCGUGUAGUC